UGCCGACGGCACGCAUAAUGCGUUGGA
rnacentral:sRNA from 1 species